CAGGUACUCCCUCCGUUCUAAAUUACUCGUCGCAGAAAUGGAUGUAUCUAGAACUAAAAUACAUCUAGAUACAUCCAUAUCUGCGACAAGUAAUUCGGAACAGAGGGAGUAUGAU
rnacentral:pre_miRNA from 1 species